UGGGGAAUAUUGGACAAUGGGCGCAAGCCUGAUCCAGCAAUGCCGCGUGUGUGAAGAAGGCCUUCGGGUUGUAAAGCACUUUAAGCAGGGAAGAAAAAACUCGGUCUAAUACAUCGAGUCUUGACGGUACCUGAAGAAUAAGCACCGGCUAACUCUGUGCCAGCAGCCGCGGUAAUACAGAGGGUGCUAGCGUUAAUCGGAUUUACUGGGCGUAAAGCGUGUGUAGGUGGUUGUUCAAGUCAGUUGUGAAAUCCCCUGGGCUUAACCUGGGAACUGCUUCUGAGACUGAACGACUAGAGUACGGUAGAGGGUGGUGGAAUUUCCGGUGUAGCGGUGAAAUGCGUAGAUAUCGGAAGGAACAUCAAUGGCGAAGGCAGCCACCUGGGGCCUGUACUGACACUGAGACACGAAAGCGUGGGGAUCAAACAGGAUUAGAUACCCUGGUAGUCCACGCCGUAAACGAUGAGAACUUGACGUCGGUUUGUCUGCAAGUCGGUGUCGUAGCUAACGCGAUAAGUUCUCCGCCUGGGGAGUACGG
rnacentral:rRNA from 1 species